rnacentral:rRNA from 1 species
CUGGGCGUAAAGAGCGUGUAGGCGGGUAGUUAAGUCAGAAGUGAAAUCCAAUAGCUCAACUAUUGAACUGCUUUUGAAACUGAUUACCUAGAAUAUGGKAGAGGUAGAUGGAAUUUCUGGUGUAGGGGURAAAUCCGUAGAGAUCAGAAGGAAUACCGAUUGCGAAGGCGAUCUACUGGAACAUUAUUGACGCUGAGACGCGAAAGCGUGGGGAGCAAACAGGAUUAGAUACCCUGGUAGUCCACGCCCUAAACGAUGUACACUAGUUGUUGUGAGGCUCGACCUUGCAGUAAUGCAGCUAACGCUUU